GGGACGGUGGCGGAACUGGUAGACGCGCUGGAUUUAGGAUCCAGUACCUACGGUGUGCGGGUUCGAGUCCCGCCCGUCCCA
rnacentral:tRNA from 1 species